GUGAAUCUGCAGACAGUCUUGAUAUUUAUGGAUUCUUUACCAGUUCAGAAUCUGAGGGAUCUAAUCUCAAGGAGAUUUAAGAUACUAAAACUCAAUGCAUGGGCCAUAAAAUGUGGAGAAGACAUACAGAAGCCAGAAAGGGAAACUCAUCUUGUUCCAUUCCUGUAGGCACCUUGGAGCCUUUGUAUAAAGAGGAGUGAUUGGGUAAAGAGUGAAGUUGAUCUGUAUUCAUCUAUGAUACCUCAGCAACCACAAUAAGAACAAAUCAGCUCACCCAUCUGAGAUGAAGUGGAUUUCUAAAAGUAGGAGAGCAGAGCCAGGGGCUAAAGCCUGGGACUGUCUGUGUGACUACACCUGCAGAUAAGGCACAUUAGAAUGGCUGGCCCAUCCCACAGCCUAGACACACUUGUACAGGAGAAGCAUGUGGCUACUCCUGUGUAGCCUCCCAAGGUUUACUGGUG
rnacentral:lncRNA from 1 species